ACAGAGGUCCCGAGCGUUGUUCGGAUUCACUGGGCGUAGAGGGUGCGUAGGUGGUGAGGUAAGUCGGAUGUGAAAUCUCCGGGCUCAACCCGGAAACGGCAUUGGAAACUACCUUGCUUGAGGUUUUGAGGGGGGACUGGAAUUCUCGGUGUAGCAGUGAAAUGCGUAGAUAUCGAGAGGAACACCGGUGGCGAAGGCGAGUCCCUGGAAAACACCUGACACUGAGGCACGAAAGCUAGGGGAGCAAACAGGA
rnacentral:rRNA from 1 species